rnacentral:tRNA from 1 species
GGCCCCGUCGUCUAGCGGCCUAGGACGCCAGGUUUUCAUCCUGGAGAUCAGGGGUUCGAUUCCCCUCGGGGCUA